AAGUCGUAACAAGGUUUCCGUAGGUGAACCUGCGGAAGGAUCAUUAACACGUAUCCAAACGUUAAAACCCCCCCCCGUGAACCUUCAUCCUGCUCUUGUAACCCGCGUAGUUCGCAAUCUCUGAUAAAUCAUAGCCCGGAAAGUUGUAGUGCUUCAGAGACCUCUGGCUGCAAGGAUACCCCUUCUACGAUUCCUGUAGACCGUACACUCGGGCAGGAGCUUUGCCAAAGGGUCCCCAUGCCCCCUAAUAACCCCACAGUUUAAUGUGAAGCUCAAUGUAAUACAUUGGGUAAAAAAACCGAACAACUGUUAACAAUGGAUAUCUUGGUUCUC
rnacentral:misc_RNA from 1 species